GACGAACGCUGGCGGUGUGCCUAAUACAUGCAAGUAGAACGCACAGUUUAUACCGUAGCUUGCUACACCAUAGACUGUGAGUUGCGAACGGGUGAGUAACGCGUAGGUAACCUGCCUGGUAGCGGGGGAUAACUAUUGGAAACGAUAGCUAAUACCGCAUAAUAUUAAUUAUUGCAUGAUAAUUAAUUGAAAGGUGCAAUUGCACCACUACCAGAUGGACCUGCGUUGUAUUAGCUAGUAGGUGAGGUAACGGCUCACCUAGGCGACGAUACAUAGCCGACCUGGGGAGGUGAUCGGCCACACUGGGACUGAGACACGGCCCAGACUCCUACGGGAGGCAGCAGUAGGGAAUCUUCGGCAAUGGACGAAAGUCUGACCGAGCAACGCCGCGUGAGUGAAGAAGGUUUUCGGAUCGUAAAGCUCUGUUGUAAGAGAAGAACGGGUGUGAGAGUGGAAAGUUCACACUGUGACGGUAUCUUACCAGAAAGGGACGGCUAACUACGUG
rnacentral:rRNA from 1 species